CCUCUCCUCUUCCCCCGCACGCGCUCCGCACCCACACCUCGAUGGGCCGCGCGUCUCGCCCCGAUCGCCUCCCCUCUCUCUCUCUCUCUCUCUCUCUCGCACAAUCAUCGCCGCCACCACCCUCUGCGCCCCGCACGCUCCCCUCUCCCCUCCUCUCUCUCGCACACCCGCCGCCGCCGCUCUCCCCUCCUCUCUCUCGCACACCCGCCGCCGGCGCCGCCGGCGGCGUCGAUCCGACGUCGAUUCCCAUCUUCAGAUCGACGCCACCGGCGCCCCCUCACGCCGCUUCUACUCACGCCGCAAGAACGCUAUCGCCUCGCCUCAUCGAUCUCCGACAACACCGCCGCGCGCCGCCGCCGAUCUCCGCCGCAAGAACAACGUCGCUCCGCCUCACCGAUCUCCUCCGACGAUAUUCCGCGUCAAUUAAUCUUCAGAUCAAUAAGGCAGUGGAGGCCGAGGAGGCCGCCAUCCACAACCGACAACGACAACGCGAUGCUGCUGCCGCCUCAAGAUCCACCGCUGCCUAUCCGUACUCACGCCACCGUUCCUCCUCCGCCGAAAGGUUCAGGGCACCCUUCGCCACCCCUACCCCAUCCCUAAUAUGUCUCCUCUCUCCCGAUAAGUAUCCCUGAUGUCGAUCUUAUGUAAAAGCAUGAUUUAUGCUCAAUAUAUAUUCAAUGUAAUUUGUGCUGGAAAUUGGGAAUCAUGGAUGACAUUUUCUGUAUAUCUACAUCCAAAGCCAACUGUGAACAGUUGUAUUUUCCUCUGAUAAGCACUUUCAAACUCUUGAAUAUGUACCAUACUGCUGAUUUCAGUAUGGUGGGGAAUUGAUGUGGCUGGAAUAAGAAAAAACAUUCUCACA